rnacentral:rRNA from 1 species
UACGUAGGGUGCAAGCGUUAAUCGGAAUUACUGGGCGUAAAGCGUGCGCAGGCGGUGAUGUAAGACAGUUGUGAAAUCCCCGGGCUCAACCUGGGAACUGCAUCUGUGACUGCAUCGCUGGAGUGCGGCAGAGGGGGAUGGAAUUCCGCGUGUAGCAGUGAAAUGCGUAGAUAUCUGGAGGAAUACCGAUGGCGAAGGCAGCCCCCUGGGUUAACACUGACGCUCAUGUACGAAAGCGUGGGGAGCAAACAGG